GAUGAACGCUGGCGGCGUGCUUAACACAUGCAAGUCGAACGAAGCACUUUAUUUGAUUUCCUUCGGGACUGAUUAUUUUGUGACUGAGUGGCGGACGGGUGAGUAACGCGUGGGUAACCUGCCUUGUACAGGGGGAUAACAGUUGGAAACGGCUGCUAAUACCGCAUAAGCGCACGGCAUCGCAUGAUGCAGUGUGAAAAACUCCGGUGGUAUAAGAUGGACCCGCGUUGGAUUAGCUAGUUGGUGAGGUAACGGCCCACCAAGGCGACGAUCCAUAGCCGACAUGUGAGGGUGACCGGCCACAUUGGGACUGAGACACGGCCCAAACUCCUACGGGAGGCAGCAGUGGGGAAUAUUGCACAAUGGGCGAAAGCCUGAUGCAGCGACGCCGCGUGAGCGAAGAAGUAUUUCGGUAUGUAAAGCUCUAUCAGCAGGGAAGAUAAUGACGGUACCUGACUAAGAAGCACCGGCUAAAUACGUG
rnacentral:rRNA from 1 species